rnacentral:rRNA from 1 species
AGAGUUUGAUCCUGGCUCAGAUUGAACUGCGCUGGCGGCGUGCCUAACACAUGCAAGUCGUACGAGAAAUCCCGAGCUUGCUUGGGAGAGUAAAGUGGCGCACGGGUGAGUAACGCGUGGGUAACCCACCUUCGAAUCUGGGAUAACUCCGCGAAAGCGUUGGUGCUAAUACCGGAUAAGACCACAGCCGUUUCGGCGGCAGAGGUAAAAGCUGACCUCUCCAUGGAAGUUAGCGUUCGAGGACGGGCCCGCGUCCUAUCAGCUUGUUGGUGGGGUAAAAGCCUACCAAGGGAUCAGCGACGGGUAGCUGGUCUGAGAGGAUGAUCAGCCACACUGGAACUGGAACACGGUCCAGACCCCUACGGGAGGCAGCAGUGAGGAAUUUUGCGCAAUGGGGGAAACCCUGACGCAGCAACGCCGCGUUGGGGGUGAAGAAGGCUUUCGGGUCGUAAAGCCCUGUCAGGUGGGAAGAAACCCUUCAGCACUAAUAAUGCUGAAGCCUGACGGUACCACCAGAGGAAGCACCGGCCAACUCCGUGCCAGCGCCGCGGUAAU